rnacentral:lncRNA from 1 species
UUAGAAACAAAAACAAGACAAAACAAAACAAUAAAGCAUUAGUAAAUCCCGCAGAAAUAACGUAAAUAAUUAUGUAAACAUAAGAAACAUAAAUACGGUCGCAUGCAAUAAUAACAAACCGUAACUACCAUACUAACAAUCCAUAAGGGGACAUAAGCUAAAACACUAAUCAUCUAUGGGUGACCCUGCUAUCCCACCCCCAACCCUGGGUGAGGCGUACGAAGAACUCUAUGAGCCCCUAGCCUACAACCCUGAUUCUAGACCUCCAGACUCCCCUAUCAAGGGUCAUGUCCUCGGAAACCUGCAUNN